ensembl:lncRNA novel transcript
CUAGAUUCUCCAUGGCUUGUCUGUCACACUGUGUCUGGAAUUGGUGGGUUCUUGGUCUCACUGACUAAGAAUGAAGCCGCGGACCCUCGCGGUGAGUGCUACAGUUCUUAAAGGCGGCGUGUCUGGAGUUUGUUCCUUCUGAUGUUAAGAUGUGUUCGGAGUUUCUUCCUUCUGGUGGGUUCGUGGUCUCACUGGCUCAGGACUGAAGCUACAGACCUUCGUGCGUGUCAGAUUCCAUGCCACCCAUGUGAUGUUACUCAAUGGAAAACUGGGAAGACUUCACAGUAACACACCAUUAUGUGUCAUUUCCAUCACACAGAUACAGACAUUGGAACCCUGAUCCGCAAAGAUGAUAGCAGUUCUGCUUGGUUCCUGUCUGAGCCUGGAUCUGGAUCUGGGAGGUGCUGGCGGGGUCCUGUUCUUCCGCUCUGGUGGGAAUCUGAUUGUGAUCAGCAUUGGGCCGCAUGCCAGAGACGGCUGCAGUCCUGUGCCUGGCCUGGCCGGCCUCGGUGCUACCCGCCACCCCUCACGUCUUCCCUUCUGGCUCCUUGUACGUCACUGGUCAGUCCGCGAACCCUGACUCUCCAUCAGUGAGCUGUGUGGCACUGGGCAAGCCUCUGCCCUUCUCUACUUCCCAGGGUACAGAGUGAGCU